AUGCUGGCUGUCCUCGUGCAGAAUUUGGGGGGAGAAAUGGGUCUGGGGCUGAGCGGAGUGCAGGAGAUGCUCAGAACUGGGAAGGGGCUGAGACACAUCCCUGGAAUGUGCCACUGUGUGAUGUCAGCUGGGGACAUCGUCAUGGCAAUGGGCACUGGAACGAUGCUGGCACCUGCGGGGCUCGUCCUGCUCUUGGUGGCAGUGGGUGGGCGUUGUGAGGACGCAGUGGCAGCCAAUGUUGGCCGUCACACCAUGGCCCGCAUCGCCGCGCUGCUGUCCCCAUCUGAGUGCCGCCAGCUCCAGGGGCAGCUGAUGGGAACCAGCAAGGACAGCGUUCAUCCCCGCGUCCCACGCCACCGCCCCGGCUGCUCGGAGGCUCUACGGAGGUGGCUGGAAAUGGAGGGAGAGGUGACAUCGUGGGACCAACUGGCCCGCAGCCUCCGCCAGAUCGGGCGCCCUGACAUCGCCCGGGAGCUGGGGAAAAACCUGAACCAGGAUCGGAGCCUGGAGCUGCGCAAGAACGUGGAGGAGUACGGCCGCAGCGUGCAGCAUCUCACCUCCUCACUGCUGCUGCAGGGCGAGCAGUACGGCAUGGCACGGAGCAGGAGGGGUUCGGGGGAUGUGGGGGAUCUGCGCUUUGAGAGGCGGCCGCCCCCUCCCUACACCCGCAGCCCCCUGGGCUGGGUGGGCCCCGUGCUCUCAGGACUGAACUGGAGCAUCACCAUCAGGCGCUGGUGGGAAAACGAAGCAAUAAAGACUUGUGGAGCCAGAGAGCAGCCCUGUGUGUUGUUCUUGGCUUAGGUUGCCUUGAGCAUCCGAAGGCGGAUGUCCAUUGGGCAUCUCCUGUGAGUUGUCACCGGGUGUUGGAACCUCCUUGGGUAGGGAUGGAGCCAGGCUAAGCUC
rnacentral:lncRNA from 1 species